CAGAACUUGGUUACUUUGCCAGCAGCUGCUAUACGUACUUCAGCCUCAUUAUCACGAAGUAAGCGCACGUAUGCCGGAACUAAGUCCGUCCUAGUAGGUUCAGGCCCCACAGCUUCACAAAGUUCAUAUAAUUGAUUUGCAACCAUAUAGCGUACACGCCAAGACUUGUCCUGAGAGAAGUUGACAAUAACAGGGAGAAUAUGUGCAACACAAUCCUGGGGCU
rnacentral:misc_RNA from 1 species